AGUGAACGCUGGCGGUAGGCCUAACACAUGCAAGUCGAACGGCAGCACAGUAAGAGCUUGCUCUUACGGGUGGCGAGUGGCGGACGGGUGAGGAAUAUAUCGGAAUCUACUUUUUCGAGGGGGAUAACGUGGGGAAACUUACGCCAAUACCGCAUACGACCUACGGGUGAAAGCAUCGGAUCUUCGGACCUUGCGCGAUUGAAUGAGCGGAUGUCGGAUUAGCUAGUUGGCGGGGUAAAGGCCCACCAAGGCGACGAUCCGUAGCUGGUCUGAGAGGAUGAUCAGCCACACUGGAACUGAGACACGGUCCAGACUCCUACGGGAGGCAGCAGUGGGGAAUAUUGGACAAUGGGCGCAAGCCUGAUCCAGCCAUGCCGCGUGGGUGAAGAAGGCCUUCGGGUUGUAAAGCCCUUUUGUUGGGAAAGAAAAGCAGUAGGUUAAUACCCCGCUGUUCUGACGGUACCCAAAGAAUAAGCACCGGCUAACUUCGUG
rnacentral:rRNA from 1 species